AUGCCGCUCCGGCGCCUCCUGGACCUCUCCGCCACCGUCUCCGACCUGCUCCGCCGCUCCCUCUCCACCGCCGCCGCCCCCUCGCACCCACCAUGGGCGAUCGUCGACUACACGUCCAUGGUCGACCGCUCCUCGUCGGCCCCGGGCGCGUGCUUCCACCCCGUCGCGCCCCCGGGCAUCUCCCACGUCACGGCCCCGGCGCACCUCGUCAACCCCAGGGCGCGCCCCGCCCCCGACACCAACGUCGUCCAGGUCCUCUUCGGCAACGUCGGCGCCGCCAGCGGCGACGGCCACCUCCUCCUCAGCUACCACGACCUCCGGGCGGAGGGCCCCUGCACCACCUGGGACCUGUCCGCGCCCCCCGAAAUCCAGCGCUUUGUCUGCAACCCGCUCACCGGCCAGAUGCUCCGCCUGCCGGACAUCGGCGGCUCCAGGAGGACCCUCGUCUUCCACCACAUGGGCCUACUCACCCAGGCCGACGGCUGGCUCGGGCGCGGGCCGCCCGACAGAUUCGCCGUCGCCGAGCUCGCCUUCCAUGUCGCCGGCGCCGGCCUCGAGCGGUUUCUCUCGGAGAAAGGGGAGUGGGAGACGGUGAUGGGCGUGCCGUGCGGACCGCCGCCCCCGCGCGGGAUGGAGGUGAACCAGGAGACGGUUGCCUUCGGCGGCCGCCUCUGGUGGGUCGACCUGACCUCGGGCGCCGUCUCCGUCGACCCCUUCGCCGACCGGCCGGAGAUCCGCUUCGUCGAGCUGCCCAGCGGCAGCGUGCUGCCUGCGCGUGCUCGUAGUACAGAAGAGGAUGGAGAUCUCAGGAAGGUCGAGGACCGGUGGCUCUUCUUGCGGGAGGUGGCCAAGCACCGGCGCAUCGGCGUGAGCAAGGGGCGGCUGCGCUACGCCGAGGUCUCUCCUCACGACCCGUUCCUGCUCAGCUCAUUUGCUCUCGACGGCGACGAGGGCAGUGGCUGGACGCUGGAGCACCAGGUGGAGCUCAGGCAGGUCUUGGCGGACGGAGGCUACCCGUGGCAGGACAACUCGGCGCAGGCGGCGCCGCAGAUCGUCGUUCUUGACCCGCUCAACGCCAACGCCGUCUACCUCAAGGUCGGCGAGCACGUCGUCGUCGUGGACAUGCACAACAGCAAGGUGACAGGGGCCUCUCCGCUUCAGGACGAGUACUCUCUUGUGCCGUGCGUGCUCCCGCCGUGGCUUGCAUCCAGCACCAUCCCUACGGCAGGCAGGAAGGAUGACAUGGAAUCGACAGAUGAUCCGGUUAAUUAG
rnacentral:rRNA from 1 species